AUUGAACGCUGGCGGCAUGCUUUACACAUGCAAGUCGAACGGCAGCGCGGGCUUCGGCCUGGCGGCGAGUGGCGAACGGGUGAGUAAUGCAUCGGAACGUGCCCAGUAGUGGGGGAUAGCCCGGCGAAAGCCGGAUUAAUACCGCAUACGACCUGAGGGUGAAAGCGGGGGACCGAAAGGCCUCGCGCUAUUGGAGCGGCCGAUGUCGGAUUAGCUAGUUGGUGGGGUAAAGGCUUACCAAGGCGACGAUCCGUAGCUGGUCUGAGGACGACCAGCCACACUGGGACUGAGACACGGCCCAGACUCCUACGGGAGGCAGCAGUGGGGAAUUUUGGACAAUGGGGGCAACCCUGAUCCAGCCAUGCCGCGUGCGGGAAGAAGGCCUUCGGGUUGUAAACCGCUUUUGUUCGGGAAGAAAUCCUCUGGGCUAAUACCCCGGGGGGAUGACGGUACCGGAAGAAUAAGCACCGGCUAACUACGUG
rnacentral:rRNA from 1 species